rnacentral:rRNA from 1 species
AUGAACGCUGGCGGCGUGCCUAAUACGUGCAAGUCGAGCGAACGGACGAGAAGCUUGCUUCUCUGAUGUUAGCGGCGGACGGGUGAGUAACACGUGGAUAACCUACCUAUAAGACUGGGAUAACUUCGGGAAACCGUAGCUAAUACCGGAUAAUAUUUUGAACCGCAUGGUUCAAAAGUGAAAGACGGUCUUGCUGUCACUUAUAGAUGGAUCCGCGCUGCAUUAGCUAGUUGGUAAGGUAACGGCUUACCAAGGCAACGAUGCAUAGCCGACCUGAGAGGGUGAUCGGCCACACUGGAACUGAGACACGGUCCAGACUCCUACGGGAGGCAGCAGUAGGGAAUCUUCCGCAAUGGGCGAAAGCCUGACGGAGCAACGCCGCGUGGGUGAUGGAGGUCUUCGGAUCGUAAAACUCUGUUAUUAGGGAAGAACAUAUGUGUAAGUAACUGUGCACAUCUUGACGGUACCUAAUCAGAAAGCCACGGCUAACUACGUG